rnacentral:rRNA from 1 species
CCUACGGGUGGCAGCAGUGGGGAAUAUUGCACAAUGGGGGAAACCCUGAUGCAGCAACGCCGCGUGAAGGAAGACGGUUUUCGGAUUGUAAACUUCUAUCAAUAGGGAAGAAAGAAAUGACGGUACCUAAAUAAGAAGCCCCAGCUAACUACGUGCCAGCAGCAACGGUAAUACUGAGGGGGCAAGCGUUAUCCGGAAUUACUGGGUGUAAAGGGAGAGUAGGCGGCAAGGGAAGCGAUAUGUGAAAGCCUUAAGCUUAACUUAAGGAUGGCAUAACGAACUAGCUAGCUAGAGAACAGGAGAGGAAGGCGGAAUUCCGAGUGUAGCGGUGAAAUGCGUAGAUAUUAGGAAGAACAACAGGGGCGAAGGCGGCUUUCUGGACUGAAACUGACGCGGAGGCUCGAAAGCGUGGGGAGCGAACAGGAUUAGAUACCCGAGUAGGC